UACGGAGGGAGCUAGCGUUGUUCGGAAUUACUGGGCGUAAAGCGCACGUAGGCGGCUUUGUAAGUUAGAGGUGAAAGCCCGGGGCUCAACCCCGGAAUUGCCUUUAAGACUGCAUCGCUUGAAUCCGGGAGAGGUGAGUGGAAUUCCGAGUGUAGAGGUGAAAAUUCGUAGAUAUUCGGAAGAACACCAGUGGCGAAGGCGGCUCACUGGACCGGCAUUGACGCUGAGGUGCGAAAGCGUGGGGAGCAAACAGG
rnacentral:rRNA from 1 species